rnacentral:rRNA from 1 species
GGCUUAUACAUGCAAGUCGAGGGGCAGCAGCUUUGUAGCAAUACAGGGGCUGGCGACCGGCAAACGGGUGCGGAACACGUACGCAACCUUCCUUUAACUGGGAGAUAGCCCACCGAAAGGUGGAUUAAUAUCCCAUAGUAUAUUUGAGUGGCAUCACUUAGAUAUUAAAGCUCCGGCGGUUAAAGAUGGGCGUGCGUCUGAUUAGGUAGUUGGCGGGGUAACGGCCCACCAAGCCCACGAUCAGUAGCUGAUGUGAGAGCAUGAUCAGCCACACGGGCACUGAGACACGGGCCCGACUCCUACGGGAGGCAGCAGUAAGGAAUAUUGGUCAAUGGACGCAAGUCUGAACCAGCCAUGCCGCGUGGAGGAUGAAGGCCCUCUGGGUUGUAAACUUCUUUUCUUUGGGACGAAACCCCUGUUUCUACGGGGACUGACGGUACCAGAGGAAUAAGCACCGGCUAACUCCGUGCCAGCAGCCGCGGUAAUACGGAGGGUGCAAGCGUUAUCCGGAUUCACUGGGUUUAAAGGGAGCGUAGGUGGGCUUUUAAGUCAGUGGUGAAAUCUUUGGGCUUAACCCGAAAACUGCCAUUGAUACUAUUAGUCUUGAAUUCUCUGGAGGUAAGCGGAAUAUGUCAUGUAGCGGUGAAAUGCUUAGAUAUGACAUAGAACACCCAUUGCGAAGGCAGCUUACUACGGAGACAUUGACACUGAGGCUCGAAAGCGUGGGGAUCAAACAGGAUUAGAUACCCUGGUAGUCCACGCCCUAAACGAUGAUUACUCGACAUUAGCGAUAUUACAGUUAGUGUCUAAGCGAAAGCAUUAAGUAAUCCACCUGGGAAGUACGACCGCAAGGUUGAAACUCAAAGGAAUUGGCGGGGGUCCGCACAAGUGGUGGAGCAUGUGGUUUAAUUCGAUGAUACGCGAGGAACCUUACCUGGGCUAGAAUGCUGGGAGACCGCAGGUGAAAGCCUGUUUUGUAGCAAUACACUGCCAGUAAGGUGCUGCAUGGCUGUCGUCAGCUCGUGCCGUGAGGUGUUGGGUUAAGUCCCGCAACGAGCGCAACCCCUAUCUUUAGUUGCCAUCAGGUAAUGCUGGGAACUCUAAAGAAACUGCCGUCGUAAGACGUGAGGAAGGAGGGGAUGAUGUCAAGUCAUCAUGGCCUUUAUGCCCAGGGCUACACACGUGCUACAAUGGGGGGGACAAAGGGCUGCCACUUAGCGAUAAGGAGCUAAUCCCAAAAACCCUCUCUCAGUUCAGAUUGGAGUCUGCAACUCGACUCCAUGAAGCUGGAAUCACUAGUAAUCGUAUAUCAGCAAUGAUACGGUGAAUACGUUCCCGGACCUUGCACACACCGCCCGUCAAGCCAUGGAAGCUGGGUGUACCUAAAGUCGGUAACCGCAAGGAGCCGCCUA